rnacentral:rRNA from 1 species
UACAGAGGGGGCAAGCGUUGUUCGGAAUUACUGGGCGUAAAGGGCGCGUAGGCGGCCUUCUAAGUCGAACGUGAAAUCCCCGGGCUCAACCGGGGAACUGCGUCUGAGACUGGAAGGCUUGAAUUCGGGAGAGGGAUGUGGAAUUCCAGGUGUAGCGGUGAAAUGCGUAGAUAUCUGGAGGAACACCGGUGGCGAAGGCGGCAUCCUGGACCGAUAUUGACGCUGAUGCGCGAAAGCCAGGGGAGCAAACGGG